AUUGUAUAAAUGGAAAAAACGGAAUAUUAGCGGUUGGUAUGAGUAAUUGUUUAUUUAUUUACACUGCUGAUACAGACGUAGAUGAGAUAUUCAUUGUAUAAACCACUUAUGUCAACUCUAGAACAAUAUUUCUUUCUUUCUUUCAAUAUAAAGUUUCUUUUCGGUUAGAGAAUUGUAUAAAAGAAUGAGACGUGAGAUUUCCGGUACCAAUCUGAUCUCGUCAUUUGAAAGGCUGUAAACAUGCGUCUUCUCUUCGUUUUCGCAAUUCUAGCCGUGCUGGCAUACACCGCUAGUGCCCAACGUUGCCCCCCCAAUUCAAGAUGGCGAUCAUGUGGCCCUAGAUGUCCGGGCCAUUGUGGAAGCCCGAGACGAAGCUGUCCUUUCCGUUGCACGGGUGGAUGCUUCUGCAAUCGUGGUUGGAUACGACGAUUCGAUCGCUGGAACAGUCCCUGCGUGAGACCAAACCAGUGCCCCCGACCAGGAAAAUAAAUCUGUUAAACUUAUAGAAGCUGUUAUUUUCAAUGGAAUAAUACUAAUGAAUUAAAAUUGUGAAAAGAUGUUGAUGGGCUAAUUUCGGUAGGAAUUUUCUCGU